AUUUCUUGUGCCCCGUACUUUGCUCGUUUACGUUUUGUGCCGUGUUCCUUCUUCUUCAAAUAUGGAAUGAUUUAUCCUUGUAAAUUUCUAAGUUACAGUGCACGCGCAUGUUAAUCGACGGUUGCCAACAUCCAGCAAAACGAUCGACAGAAGGAAAACGGUGUCCGGUUUUAAAAUAUAAAGAUUUCAUUACAGCUCUUUCGUAGAAGAGCGCACUUCAAGGACGCCUAGGAUACGGCUAAACAUGCGCAGCACCAGUCCGUGACGUCAUUUCCAGACAGGCGCCGGCUGAACACGCGCAGCACCAGUCGAGGAUAUCCUAGCGCAGAGGGUAGAGGGAAGAACGAGAGGAAGGGUAACAGAAAGCAACCGCAGCAUUUGGAAGGGGUGAAGCAUCCUGCCGUAUACAGAGUGUGAGUGUGCCAAAACGCAUGUGGAAAGAGUAACACCAAUAAAUAGCAUGCGAAAGUGUGCAUAAAGCAAAAAGAAAAAGCGUCACUACUACAACCAGCAAUCCGAAAAUAUAAGGGGAGGGAUAAAUACAAAUGUAUGCGUAAGCAGGACCAGCAAUCCAAGCAUUUGAAUGUGUGCGUCGGUUUGUGUCGUGCUGAAAGUUUUUACUUUAGCUGCUGCUAGUGUAAAAACUUAAGGAAAGCUUAAAGUAAAAAUUUUUUACACGGGGCGCCUUCGGAAAUUGUUGGCUG